CCCUAGCCCUGAUAGAAGCGGUAUCCUUUUGUGGCGGUGUUCGCCACAAAAGAUACAAGUGGAUAGCAGGAAAUAGC
rnacentral:sRNA from 1 species